GCCAGAUCACAAGCCUCUCGUGGUUCCUCAUCACACUGAUCUAUUUAUGUGUGGUUCAGUUACAAGCAUUGCCACAUCGCCUAGGAUUUAAUCAACCUGGAUACAAACGUGUUGAUCCUGUACGCUUAUAGCUCAUCGGGUUAGCAUCGGAUUAUGAUCAUGCAGACUUAUUAAAUGGCUUUUGCCCGGCUGAUUUUUACAUAAUAUUGCCUUCAAACAUACAUUAGUUGUUGUGCAACCUCAUUGCUGAGAGCAACAGUGGCCAGGUCAGGGAGUUAAAGAAGCAUAUAGUGUAGUGCUAGCUAGUACAGAAAGAUGGCGGAGCAGUCGCAACAGUACAAAAUUCCAAUGCCCCAACUUACAAAGGAGGAACUUAUCCGAUACCAGACAAAGUUUAAGAUGUUCGACAGGAAUAAGGAUGGUCAUAUUGAGGCUCGUGAAUUAGCAGCAGUUUCAAAAGCUUUGGGACACAAUCUCUCAAAUGAACAGAUAAAUAAUAUUAUCGGUGAAUGGGAUUUGGACAUGAAUGGCGUGUUAACAUUCGAUGAAUUCGUAUGCUGUAUGCACGCGAACAAGUCAAUCUUUGUUAAAGGUGAACAGAAGAAGAUGAAGAUCCGAAAGAUGUUGAUUAGCCAUGCGGUGGACAAAGCGGGAAAUGUCCCGACUAACCGCAUGAUUCAAGUCCUCUUUGAACAACUUUCCUUCCCACCAGAGAGGUCAAACAGGAUGUUAUCUCCACUGGACACACAGCAAACAGGGCACAUCAACCUUCAUAUUUUCUCAGAUUUCUACGGAAAGGUAUUAGAUAAUAAAGAAAACUUGGAAAAGACAUUUAAAGGUUUCGAUAAAGAUGGCUCUGGGGCUAUAUCUUUGUCGAGCGCCCAACAAGUGAUGAAGAAUUUUGGAUUUUCUAACCCACAGAGCGAUGCCAUGGGCGCCAUGCAUGACAGGAAUCGUAAUGGCUAUUUCUGGUAUGAAGAACUCUCUCAAUUCUGGCCAAUUCCACAGUGAUUAUUAGACGAUAAAACAGAGUUCCCCAGAAGUAAAAAAAAUAACAAUAUCAAUUACAUUCUUUCAACAGAAGUAACGUUAUUUGACAAUGAAAUAGAGUUCCCCAGAAGUAAAAAAAAUAACAAUAUCAAUUACAUUCUUUCAACAGUAGUAACGUUUUUCGGUAUUUCUAGAGGGGGCAUAUUUCCUACAGCUAGUGACAUCAGUGAGCCCGCAAACGAUGGCACUGUACUGUACACCGUACGUGUGCAAGAAGACGGUUUAUUGUUUGUUUAACCAACUGGAUAAUACUGUUCAUCAAAGAUCACAGUUUA
rnacentral:misc_RNA from 1 species